AUGCCCCAGGUACCUUGUUACUUAGCGGAGGUCGCCUCUGGAUUCCGGUCUCUGGGAGCGGGGGCGUGGGGCUGCACAUGCGCACUACGAGUCCUCGCCUACUCCCAGAAACCACCGGGGCCCCCAGGCGUUGCGGCCAGGGCUUCAGGUCGGUGCGCUCCAGAGAGACCUGAGUGGGCAGCGUCGCCGCUUCUCCUUUCUUGGACAGUAUUUUCCCAGCGCCACGUCAUAAUGGGACAUUAUGAGGCUUGUGUUGCUUGGGGCCGCGCGGCCCGUCUCAGAGGCGCUCCGGGCAGGAGUGGCCAGCUGGAUGGCUGGAGGCCCAGGGAUCAGUGCAGCUCUGCAUUUCCAGGACCCUGUCGCUGAUCAGAACGCUGUUCCAGCACAGUGCGCAUUAGCUAUGUCUCAGUGCUUUCUUAACUCCGUUGAUAAUUUCACCAUCAAGAUAGAUUUCCAUCACUCUU
rnacentral:lncRNA from 1 species